rnacentral:rRNA from 1 species
GAUGAACGCUGGCGGCGUGCCUAAUACAUGCAAGUCGAGCGAACAGACGAGGAGCUUGCUCCUCUGACGUUAGCGGCGGACGGGUGAGUAACACGUGGAUCACCUACCUAUAAGUCUGGGAUAACUUCGGGAAACCGGAGCUAAUACCGGAUAAUAUAUUGCACCGCAUGGUUCAAUAGUGAAAGACGGUUUUGCUGUCACUUAUCGCUGGAUACGCGCCGCAUUAGCUGGUUGGUAAGGUAACGGCCUACCAAGGCAACGAUGCGUAGCCGACCUGAGAGGGUGAUAGGCCACACGGGAAGGGAGACACGGUCCAGACGCCUACGAGAGGCAGCAGUAGGGAAUCUUACGCAAUGGGCGAAAGCCUGACGGAGCAACGCCGCGUGAGUGAUGAAGGUCUUCGGAGCGGAAAACUCUGUUAUUAGGGAAGAACAAAUGUGUAAGUAACUAUGCACGUCUUGACGGUACCUAAUCAGAAAGCCACGGCUAACUACGUG